GACGAACGCUGGCGGCGUGCUUAACACAUGCAAGUCGAACGGUGAACCAGGGCUUGCCCUGGGGAUCAGUGGCGAACGGGUGAGUAACACGUGACCAACCUGCCCCUUGCUCUGGGAUAA
rnacentral:rRNA from 1 species